CCCCUCCUCCUCCACGUUGGAAAAUAACCCCACUGUUUGUUGACUGCCUUAAACGUUCUCUGAAUUGGCAGAUAUGGUAAAUAAAACUCCUUUUAACAUAGAAUCCAGCUGCCUGGCCGCAAAGAAUACUCCAGCCACUUCAACAAGGUGAACGUGUUAAACGCAAGAUUCGUGAAGUAAAUUUGAGGACACGCCGUGCGCACGUGGGGAAGUACAAGAAUGCACUUGUAAAUAUGCACCCGAAGGAUACAUCUCGAAGGCAUGUCUCCUUCGCGUUAGCUAAAGCAGUACAUUUCGUUUCUUUUCUCCGAAACACAACAUUAUCAAGGAACCAACUGCAGGUGUUGGUUUAAACCGAAGAUAGACACAAAAAGCUGGAGUCACUCAGUGGGACAGGCAGCAUCUCUGGAGAAAGUAAAUAGGUGACGUUUCGGGUUGAGGCCCUUCAUCAGACUGGGAGUCAGGCAGGGACCAUUCUACGUUUCCUGAGCUCACCGUCUGCUUUGAUCCGUGGUUUUCACACCAACAUCCGCAGUUCCUUCUCGCUCCACUUCGCCGUGUCAACGACUGUUUUAUUGUCGUAUGUCCCAGAUAGAACAAUUACAUUAAUUCUUACUUGCAGCAGCACAACAGAAUACGUAAACAUAGUACACGGUAAACAAUAUAAUAAACGAGGAAAAAGUUCAGCGUGUGUGUACGUGUGUGUUACUCACGAGCGAACCAAAUCACCCGAGUCACUUGGUGAGUUUCUCUCAACAGAAUGGGAUUUGUAUUUGACCACAAAAGUAAAAGGUCAUAAGGAAGUACGAUUAUAUAUGUUGACGCUGGAGGAGAAGUGAUUAUAAAUACAAAUGGCGUGUUAUACACUGUAAUAGGUAUAACCGGCCAUUGUGUAACCAAUCUGCCCUUAGAAUGACAUGAUUUCAUAUUUAUCAUAUUUCAGUUGUACAUUUUGUAAUAUUUUGGAUUUAUACUAGGCAUCCUACAAAAAUGUAUUUUUUUUCUUAUACCAAUGAAAUGACUACAAACACACAUAAUGUUUCCG